rnacentral:rRNA from 1 species
GACGAACGCUGGCGGCGUGCCUAAUACAUGCAAGUCGAACGCACUGGGGACGGGUGAGUAACACGUGGCUAACCUCCCAUCAGAGGGGAUAACACUUGGAAACAGGUGCUAAACCGAUACUGAUGGAUGGCCCCGCGGUGCAUUAGCUCGUUGGUGAGGUAACGGCUCACCAAGGCCACGAUGCAUAGCCGUCCUGAGAGGGGGAUCGGCAACACGGGAACUGAGACACGGCCCAGACUCCUACGGGAGGCAGCAGUAGGGAAUCUUGGGCAAUGGACGAAAGUCUGACCGAGCAACGCCGCGUGAGUGAAGAAGGUUUUCGGGUCGUAAAACUCUGUUGUUAGAGAAGCGGUAUCUAACCAGAAAGCCACGGCUAACUACGUGCCAGCAGCCGCGGUAAUAC